AUUGAACGCUGGCGGCAGGCCUAACACAUGCAAGUCGAACGAGGGGCGGACGGGUGAGUAAUGUCUGGGACACUGCCCGAUGGAGGGGGAUAACUACUGAAAACGGUAGCUAAUACCGCAUACCAUCGGGUGUGCACAUAUGGGAUUAGCUAGGAGGUGGGGUAACGGCUCACCUAGGAGACGAUCCCUAGCUGGUCUGAGAGGAUGAACAGCCACACUGGAACUGAGAAACGGUCCAGACGCCUACGGGAGGCAGCAGUGGGGAAUAUUGCACAAUGGGCGCAAGCCUGAUGCAGCCAUGCCGCGUGUAGGAAGAAGGCCUGAGGGUUGUAAAGUACUUUCAGCGAGGAGGCGUUACCCGCAGAAGAAGCACCGGCUAACUCCGUGCCAGCAGCCGCGGUAAUAC
rnacentral:rRNA from 1 species